UCUUGACUGGAGUCAAGCCUCGAGUGCUGACCCGUCGUCGUCUUCUCCGCCUGUCCGCAAGCCCGUGUGGACUCGCCAUGGAGGAGGCAACGGAGCCUCACCACCCGGUCCUGCAGGGGGUUCUAGACGGCAACCUCCGCCUCCUCAAAGAGAUGGCGGGCGUCGUGGCGGACGACGGCAUCUGGUCGCGCGCGCUGGUUCUGGCGGCCAUGGAGGGGCGGCUGGACGUCUGCCGGUGCCUCGUCGAGGACCUCCGCGUCGACGUCAACCAGCGCACCUUCUCAGGUGAUACAGCUCUGGCAUUUCUGCAUCUUAUGGGACAGCUGCUAUCACAAAAUAUCUUCUAGAUCGUGGCGCUGAUCCAACUUUAGUUGGUGCCCUGUGGCCACCUCUUCAUGGCGCUGCAAUGAAUGGUUCUUGGUACUACUGUCUUCGAACAUUUUCAAGCUUAAGAAAUGGCAAACUAAAGUUUAUCAGUGCAACGGACAAGCUGGGAAACUUUAUGAUGCUAUCACCAAUUCAUUUUGAGCAUACAUAUAUAGUAGUUUUUUAUUCUUGGUGAUCAAAAUGCGGAUGACUUAAGGACCCCAUUGCAUGCUGCCGCUGCUGUUGGUCAAGGUGGCGCGGUGAAUAUUUUGUUGGAGCAUCAUGCAGAUGUAAGUCACCACUUUCUCGGGGUUCUCUCCUUGGCCGCGCAAAAGGAAAUCCUAGGCCCUAAGCGACUGUGUCUCCAGUCCGUAACUAUCAUGCAUUGGAAUGAGAAAUGCCUAAUCAGAUUCUCAACCUUCAUAGCACCCCGCUAAAUCUGUCCAUACUUUCCAAAUCGCUGGAAUGUGUGAAGCUACUCAUUAAAGCUGGUGCUGAUGUGAAUAAAAUUGACCAUAGUGGUUAUACUUACCUGAUGGUAGCUGCGGACAUUGGCUUACCUGGUAUCAUGAAGUGCUUACUAGAUGCUGGUGCUAACCCCGAUAUUCCUGAUCCAUUUGGUACAACUGCAAUUGAAAUUGCUGCCCUCGGAGGCAGAAGGGAUAUGGUUGAGAUGUUAUUUCCUUUAGCUUCUACCAUUUCAACGUUGCCGGAUUGGAGUGUUGAUGGAAUUAUUUGUCAUGUGAAAUCAUGUGGUUUGAAGCCGAAGGAUAUACAUCUAUGUGUAAAGAAAAGAGCUGAACUGCAAUUGCAAGCUACAGAGGCUUUAAGAGAAAGGAAUAUAUGAUAGCGGCAGAGCUAUAUACUUGUGCAAUGAAUUUUGAGCCAAGUGCAGAAGAUCUUGCAAUCCUCCUAGCAAAUAGGAGUUUCUGUCUGCUGCGCUCGGGAAGAGGAAAAGACGCUCUCUCCGAUGCUACUAGGUGCACAAUGUUGCGACCUCGCUGGCCCAAAGGUUACUAUCGACUAGGGGCAGCCUUAAUGUUUCUAGAGGACUAUGAAGACGCGUCUCGGGCGUUUGCGGAUGGCUUGGAACUGGAUCCUGCAAAUGCUGUCAUUGCAAAUGCUCUAAGGGAAGCCCAAGAGGCAGUGAAGAACCCUCCUUGCACCGGAGAGCUGGGGUGCCUUAGCCCACUUGGGAUCAGACGUUCCUGGUGAAGUUGAGGCUCUCUUCUGUUGCUAUCUCCAGGGUAUGCAUGCCUGUUAUUCUCUUUUGGAGCCGUCCCAAGAAUGCAAAUGUCUUGUGCUAUUGUGGACUUCAUGGGGUACUGACUGAUGGUGUGGUGUAAAUAUGGCUGAAUGCACUCGAUCUGUAGUACUAGUAUUUUUUUUUUGCGAACACGCAAAAGACUUGCGUGUCGAUAUAUUAGAGCGAGAAGGAUUUACAAGGU